UCAGGUCUGAGCAGUUUUGUCCAUGGGUUCCUUCUCGUGGAGAGAGCCUUAAAUCCAAUCAGAUUUUGGUUGGUUAUUCUACAACUUCUGUGCCACUUAUUAUACCAGUGCAGGCGGAUCACCACUGCAGAUCAAAGGAAGAGGAAACCACUUACCACCACCAUGAACAUGAACUGGUGGAUUUGUGAUGAAGCUUAGAAGAUUCAACCUUGUUCAGCGUAUAGCUAACUGCAAGUCUGGAAGACCGAAGGGGGAUACAUGUCUCAGUUCCUGCAAGUAACUGCCUGACUCUUAAAUCAGAGUGGCAAGCAGGAAAAAGAAUGACAUCUUUAUCAUCCUCAAGGUUUGCAAAGUUUUGGUAGCACAUCAUACUCCACACUCCUCCCUUAGAAUGUUGCCCUCUCUUGCCUCAGCAGACCUGAAUGCCACAGUGCACUGUCUGCAUCGCUUUCUGCAGAGGUCAAGGGUCACUAGAGCCUCUGCUCUGUAAGGAGGGGAAGGGGAGCACUUUUGUGAGACCACCUGUAUGUGGAAUACAACAGUGGCUGUAUUUCCCAGGUCCUGGAGUCUGUGCCUUCUCCCAGGUAGGUUUCAUAGAUGUGAAAAUGUGUCCAGAGGGUGGGCACAUGCCGAGGUUUCUGGGUUCUUGCCUCCAACAAAGAAGAACUGGACCAGGGACACAUGAGUGUUGACAGAAAUAGAGACAGAUCAUUAAGCAAGAGAACAACACUCUCAGGUUGGAAGUGGGGUAGUGAACUGCACAGGUCCAAACCUGUAAUGCCCUGUUCUCCCCCAGCAUCAGGACCCUUUAUGGGGUCAUUCGCACAUCACCUGCCGUCGCCCACGUUCAGUACGCUCGCGGCUUUUUUGGAACAUGCUAUUUUACAUGACACCUUGGUGGGAAUGGGUUUUCAGUGUUCCUCUGCAGACUGCUUUCUUUCAUAUGUGACUCUUUAUGUCUCUGUCCUGUGCCCUACUCUCCUGGCUCGCUGCCCACAUGGAGAGGAUACCAGCUGCAGACCGGAGAAGGACGCUGGAAGUAGAGGGAAUGGGAGCCAACACGAUGGCUUUCGUUCCAGUUAGCCUGGCAAGCUAGGAAGUUUCUUCACUUUGAAGACAAUUUUAUAACAUUUCUUGAAAAACAGAAUCCAUGUAUGAGACAUCACCCUUAAUUGAUUGGUAUUUAAUCCCGACUAGCUGCCUUUCUCCAAGAAAGCAUCUUCGGGACAGAGAAUAACCUUGCCGGUAUCCAGCCUCUUCCUGUGAAGUCAGACACAAGCACCUGGCUGUAUUUCUCUGGCGGGUGGUUGACUUACAGCUAUCCCAUAACUAAUAAAGGUGAA